GACGAACGCUGGCGGCGUGCUUAACACAUGCAAGUCGAACGAGGAAGGAAAGAAUGGGAGCUGCGGCAGAAAUUCAUUUCGGAGGAGUGGCAUACGGGUGAGUAACGCGUGAGCAACCUACCUCUUACAAAGGGAUAGCCUCGGAAAACCGGGAUUAAUACCAUGUAACAUUGCGACGAAGCAUUUCGAUUCAAUAAAGGCUACGGCGGUAAGAGAUGGGCUCGCGUCCCAUGGACCGGAUGGUGAGGUAACGGCUCACCAUAGUGACGAUGGGUAACCGGCAUGGGAGCGUGAACGCUCACACUGGAACUGAGACACGGUCCAGAGUGCGACGGGAGGCAGCAGUGGGGAACAUGGCACAACGGAGGGAACUAUGAGGCAGCGACGUCGCGGGAGUGAUGAAGGUAUUCGUUGCGUAAAACUCUGUUUUAGGGGAAGAAAAGGACUGACCCAGAGGAGAAAGCCCGGGCAACUUCCGG
rnacentral:rRNA from 1 species